rnacentral:rRNA from 1 species
GACGAACGCUGGCGGCGUGCUUAACACAUGCAAGUCGAACGGAAAGGCCCUGCUUUUGUGGGGUGCUCGAGUGGCGAACGGGUGAGUAACACGUGAGUAACCUGCCCUUGACUUUGGGAUAACUUCAGGAAACUGGGGCUAAUACCGGAUAGGAGCUCCUGCUGCAUGGUGGGGGUUGGAAAGUUUCGGCUGUUGGGGAUGGACUCGCGGCUUAUCAGCUUGUUGGUGGGGUAGUGGCUUACCAAGGCUUUGACGGGUAGCCGGCCUGAGAGGGUGACCGGCCACAUUGGGACUGAGAUACGGCCCAGACUCCUACGGGAGGCAGCAGUGGGGAAUAUUGCACAAUGGGGGGAAGCCUGAUGCAGCAACGCCGCGUGCGGGAUGACGGCCUUCGGGUUGUAAACCGCUUUCGCCUGUGACGAAGCGUGAGUGACGGUAAUGGGUAAAGAAGCACCGGCUAACUACGUG